CAGCAGCCGCCGCGGGAAUACGUAGGGUGCGAGCGUUAAUCGGAAUUACUGGGCGUAAAGCGUGCGCAGGCGGUUGUGUAAGACAGGUGUGAAAUCCCCGGGCUUAACCUGGGAACUGCGCUUGUGACUGCACAGCUAGAGUAUGGCAGAGGGGGGUGGAAAUCCACGUGUAGCAGUGAAAUGCGUAGAGAUGUGGAGGAACACCGAUGGCGAAGGCAGCCCCCUGGGCCAAUACUGACGCCCAUGCACGAAAGCGUGGGGAGCAAACAGGAUUAGAUACCCCGGUAGUCCCUGUCUCUUAUAC
rnacentral:rRNA from 1 species